rnacentral:rRNA from 1 species
CGUACGGGUGAGUAACACGUGAAUAAUCUACCUCCGAGUGGGGAAUAACUGAGAGAAAUCUUAGCUAAUACCGCAUAACACUUACGAGUCAAAGCAGCAAUGCGCUUGGAGAGGAGUUCGCGGCCGAUUAGCUAGUUGGCGGGGUAAUGGCCCACCAAGGCGAUGAUCGGUAUCCGGCCUGAGAGGGCGCACGGACACACUGGAACUGAAACACGGUCCAG